rnacentral:antisense_RNA from 1 species
CUUACCUUGGCCCCCCACAGGGCAAGGAUUACAGGUAUGAGCCACCAUGCCUGGCCCCUACCCUGCCUAUUGAGAACCAAAAGAAGGAUCCAAAUUCUCCUUAUUCAACUCGAGCCAUUUCCUGAUAGCUUCAUCAGCAAGGAGCUGGUUAUUGGGCUGUCCAGGCCUCCCAAGCAGCACAGAAAUUAGAAACAGGACCUUGCCCUGUCACUCAGGAUGGAGUUCAGUGGUCGAGUCAUGGCUCAUUGUAGCCUCAAACUCCCAGGCUCAAGCAACCCUACCAUGUCAGCCUUCCCAGUAGCUGGGACUACAG